GCUUGCUCCUCUGAGKUUAGCGGCGGAGGGGUGAGUACCACGUGGAUAACCUACCUAUACGACUGGGAUAACUUCGGGAAACCGGAGCUAAUACCGGAUAAUAUAUUGAACCGCAUGGUUCAAUAAUGAAAGACGGUUUUGCUGACACUUAUAGAUGGAUCCGCGCCGCAUUAGCUAGUUGGUAAGCUAACGGCUUACCAAGGCAACGAUGCGUAGCCGACCUGGGAGGGUGAUCGGCCACACUGGAACUGAGACACGGUCCAGACUCCUACGGGAGGCAGCAGUAGGGAAUCUUCCGCAAUGGGCCAAAGCCUGACGGAGCAACGCCGCGUGAGUGAUGAAGGUCUUCGGAUCGUAAAACUCUGUUAUUAGGGAAGAACAAAUGUGUAAGUAACUAUGCACGUCUUGACGGUACCUAAUAGAAAAGCCACGGCUAACUAC
rnacentral:rRNA from 1 species